GCGCACCAGGCGAGAAACCUUCGCAAUGCAGGAAACUGCGACGAGGGAACUCCAAGUGCCUACGCUCAGCGUAGGCUGUUCUCAAGCCUAGAAAGCUUGAGGAGUAAGGGCUGGGUAAGACGGGUGCCAUCUGUGGUAGCAGUCAAUAGAUUCGAUUUGUUACUGCAAGGCAUAAGCCGCCGCGGUAAUACCCGCAGCCCAAGUGGUGGCCGCUUUUAUUGGGCCUAAAGCGUCCGUAGCCGGCCCGGUAAAUGCCUGGGGUAAAUCGUGGAGCCCAACUUCACGAAUUCCGGGUAGACUGCCGAGCUCGGGACCGGAAGAGGGAGAGGGUACUUCGAGGGGUAGGGGUAGAAAAUUUCCUUUCAUUAACGCUUUGCGCGAAGCGGAAAGGUUAUC
rnacentral:rRNA from 1 species